CCUGGGGAUCAUACCAGCACUAAAGCACCGGAUCCCAUCAGAACUCCGAAGUUAAGCGUGCUUGGGCGAGAGUAGUACUAGGAUGGGUGACCUCCUGGGAAGUCCUCGUGUUGCAUUCC
rfam:Triticum aestivum genome assembly, contig: Triticum_aestivum_CS42_TGACv1_scaffold_054413_1BS